rnacentral:rRNA from 1 species
AGCGAACGCUGGCGGCAGGCUUAACACAUGCAAGUCGAGCGGGCGUAGCAAUACGUCAGCGGCAGACGGGUGAGUAACGCGUGGGAACAUACCUUUUGGUUCGGAACAACACAGGGAAACUUGUGCUAAUACCGGAUAAGCCCUUACGGGGAAAGAUUUAUCGCCGAAAGAUUGGCCCGCGUCUGAUUAGCUAGUUGGUGAGGUAACGGCUCACCAAGACGAAGAUCAGUAGCCGGCCUGAGAGGGCGCACGGCCACACUGGAACUGAAACACGGUCCAGACUCCUACGGGAGGCAGCAGUGGGAAUUUGCGCAAUGGGGGAAACCCUGACGCAGCAACGCCGCGUGGAGGAUGAAGUCCCUUGGGACGUAAACUCCUUUCGACCGGGACGAUAAUGACGGUACCGGUGGAAGAAGCCCCGGCUAACCUCGUGCCAGCAGCCGCCGUAAG